GUUAUUAUUAAAAAAAAAAUCCCACAAAAUUGACUUAUGUUAAAGGAAUUAAAAAGACAGAUCAGUCUGAAAAUCCACACCCACGAAAUCCUUCUCCCAAAUUGAAAUCUACACAGUACUCUCACCUGGACUUACCAUCUCCGGCCUCAAUUCAGCAAAAGGUGUCGCCACCUCUACGACGACAAGUACAUCGAUUUUUUCGCCUCUUGAUGGUUCGGAUUCUCCGAUCAUAAUUAACCAAAGGUUUCACCUCUGCUCCAAUUACACUUCUAGACAUGGUUGCACUGCCACCCGCUUCACCAUUUUCGGCCACCCGCUAAAUCAGCACCACAAGUUUUUCUAUCUCUCGUCAUUUUUUUCGCAUUUGCUUUGCACAGAAUGGAUGGAAGGAAUUAUGGAAUAUGUUGUAGUUGUAGAGCUAAGGACCAUGUUUUCCCAGAAUGCCACGAAAACGUCAAUGUCCAAUAUGCAAGCAUAGAUUCGAGAAGUGUUUUGUGGUGCAGAAGGAGACUAGCAAUAAAAGGGAGAUUAUUUCUUUACUGCAGUGACAAUUGUGGAUUUUGGAACUGGUUUGUGAAAGAAGAAUCAAGCGGUCAAUCCUCUACCGGUAACUCUUCCUGAGUGAACCUUGCGAUAAACGAAGGAGUAUAAGAUAUGUCAAACAUGUUUGAAUCUCAAGUUUGCCUCAAUGAUGAAGAAGAACUACAUAUUUGAUGACAGUGGCGAUAUGCAAUGCAAAAGGUAGUGCGGAAUGGAAUGUGAAGGGAAGGGUUUGACUUGAUUAAUAGAUAGUAAUCAAAUGGGUUAUGACGUGGAAAUUCUCACAGUUUCCAAAUAUUCCAUGAAGAAGGAGAUUUAGGCGGAUAAAUGUUAUGUUUUAUCUUGUCGUGUAAUAUUGUUUCUGUAAAAUUUUGGAUGAUGUCAACAAGUUCUUCCAUUAAGUCUCUGUUAUUGUCUUCA